UCACAAUCAUAUAACUAUCAAUAGCAAGUAAAUUUAAAUACCAUUCUAACUAUCGUUGCUGCGUGAUGGUUGGUUUUUACUAAAUCAAGCAGAUUAUGUGUUUAUAGAUAUGGACUUUAACCCGGUUGAAGUGAAACCAGCACCCUAUUAAAGUGCUUUCUGGUGCCACUCUUUUAACAGCAUUCCUCAUUGCCGUUACAAAUUCUGUAAUUACUACAAUACUCUCUCAGUUUAUCAAAGAGAAUGGCAAA